AAAUGUCGGUGUGGACAUUUCCUCACCAGUUCCUUAAAUCGCUCCCAAGCUUCAUAUACCGAUUCUCCACCAUUCUGGCAAAAAUUAUUAAUUUUUCUCCUUAGUUU